UCGAGAAUUUUUCACAAUUGGCGAAAGCCUGAUGGAGCGACGCCGCGUGGGGGAUGAAUGGCUUCGGCCCGUAAGCCCCUGUCAUUCGCGAGCAAACGUUAUUAUUUAAAAGAUGAUAGCCUGAUAGUAGCGAAAGAGGAAGGGACGGCUCACUCUGUGCCAGCAGCCGCGGUAAUACAGAGGUCCCAAGCGUUGUUCGGAUUUACUGGGCGUAAAGGGUGCGUAGGUGGUGGGGUAAGUCGGAUGUGAAAGCUCCGAGCUCAACUCGGAAAGUGCAUUGGAAACUACCCUGCUCGAGGGGUGGAGGGGGGACUGGAAUACUUGGUGUAGCAGUGAAAUGCGUAGAUAUCAAGUGGAACACCAGUGGCGAAGGCGAGUCCCUGGACAACUCCUGACACUGAGGCACGAAAGCUAGGGGAG
rnacentral:rRNA from 1 species